rnacentral:rRNA from 1 species
UACGUAGGGCGCGAGCGUUGUCCGGAAUUAUUGGGCGUAAAGAGCUCGUAGGCGGCCUGUUGCGUCCGCUGUGAAAUCCCAGGGCUCAACCCCUGGGCGUGCAGUGGAUACGGGGCAGGCUGGAGGCAGGCAGGGGGAGAACGGGAAAUUCCCCGGUGUAGCGGUGAAAAUGCGCAGAUAUCGGGAGGAACACCGGUGGCGAAGGCG